rnacentral:rRNA from 1 species
UAAAACUUGAUAGGCCCCUACGCCCCCUAUCCGCCCGGGUACUACUGAGCACCAGCUUGAAACCCAAAGGACUUGGCGGUGCUUCAUAUCCGUCUAGAGGAGCCUGUUCUAGAACCGAUAACCCCCGUUAAACCUCACCCUCCCUUGUUUGUACCGCCUAUAUACCGCCGUCGUCAGCCUACCCUGUGAAGGCCCAGAAGUGAGCAAGAUUGGUAAGACCCAAAACGUCAGGUCGAGGUGUAGUGAAUGAGAGGGGAAGAAAUGGGCUACAUUUCCUAAGUUAGGAAAUACGAAUAAUGAACUGAAAUAAGCAUUAGAAGGUGGAUUUAGCAGUAAGCAGAAAAACAGAGUGUUUCGCUGAAGUUAUGGCAAUAAAGCACGCACACACCGCCCGUCACCCUCUGC